rnacentral:rRNA from 1 species
UACGGGGGGGGCAAGCGUUGUUCGGAAUUACUGGGCGUAAAGGGCUCGUAGGCGGCCAACUAAGUCAGACGUGAAAUCCCCGGGCUUAACCUGGGAAUGGCAUUUGGGACUGCAAGGCUGGAGUGCAGCAGAGGAGACUGGAAUUCCCGGUGUAGCAGUGAAAUGCGUAGAUAUCGGGAGGAAUACCGAUGGCGAAGGCAGGUCUCUGGGCUGACACUGACGCUCAUGCACGAAAGCGUGGGGAGCAAACAGG